GACUUGCACAUCCCUGCGAUCAGUCAAGCUCCUUGAGCUCUCCUUCUUGCUAUCAUCAUCAUCAUCAUCAUCAUCAUCGACAGCGCGUGUCCAUCCGACGUCGGCAUCGCCAAGGCCGCCAUCACUGGAUUUAGCUGAGGUCACCAUCCAAUCUCACCGACGUUCCUCCUUUCAAUUGGAAACUUUGGAUUUUUAAUCGGUUUUGUGGUGUUUUGGUUGUGUUCUUGGCAAGAUAGAGUGAAGUAAAGUUGUGUAUUGAUGUAUGAAUUUGAUUGAUCAUCAGAUAAUUCAAAGAAAUUUUGGGCCUCUGGUGCAGUUCUGAAGAAAAAGGUUGUAAACGGGGAGAGAUUUUGAAGUUUACAUCUUUGUAGAAUUCAUUUGGGAUUGGUUCUUUGAUUCAGAUCCAAAUAAAAAACAGUAUGGUAGAAUUAUAAGUUGGGGUUUCAGAGCAAAGCAAGGAUGGGAUAGAAGCUGGAUCUUCUAGUUCACAAAUGUUGAGAAAGAAAAAUUGGUACAAUGAGAAGAUUCAUUAUGUGAAAAAGUUUCUCCAUAGGCAGGUAUGGUGCUUAAUUAUGAAGAAGAAGCUUAUUGUAUCUCAUUAACUAUGCUCGACAAGCAGGAUUUGACAUAACAAAAAGAAGAACAAGAUCGGGCGAUGAUGGAAAGUUAAAAUAUUAUAUAUUAGCAUGUGUAAGAGGUGGCAAUAGGGUAUUUAUUUCCAAAAAUUCUUUCAACCCAACACUAUCCAUCAAAACAAAUUGUCAAGGCAAGAUUAAUGUUAUUGUUGGUAACGAUGGACAUUUUACGAUUUCUUGUGUCCACUUAGAGCAUAAUCAUGCACUUAACCCACAAAAAUCUCAUUAUUAAAAUUGCAAUAAAAAAAAUGGACUCAUAUGUUAAGAGAAGGCUUGAACUAAAUAAUCAAGCGGGUAUAAGGUUAAACAAGAAUUUCAUUCAUUAGUUGUUGGAAGUGAUGGAUAUGAGAAUUUGACUUACAUUGAAAAAGAUUGUCGAAAUUAUAUUGUGAAAGCAAGGCAGUUCAAGCUUGGA